AGGGUAUUUGCCUCAUAGCUCAGAGAAGGCUACGGGCUGGAAAAUACUAACCCUUUGUUCUUUCCUGUUCCCCCAUGUGGGUGAAAUGUUGCUCAUAACUGGAUUUCUAAGUCUGAUAGCCUAAAGCAAGCUUUGGCCCGAUGACUUUUAUGGACAUUUGUGUUUACUUCAUCAAAGUGGAAGUAAUAAUAAGAAUUAUAGGAAUUCAGGGGUUUUAGCAGUAAAGUUUGAGGUUUUUUUUUUUUUUUUUUUUUUUUUUUUUUUUUCUAUUUAGUUUUGAGANACUUAGGAGUGGCUAGGACACUCAGACAGCCUCUGAUGCUUUAUGGUAUGUUGAGAUUGACAGUUUUCAAAUGAGCUCAGAGUUUCUAAAUUCCUUGAAGCCAUUCUAAGACCUUCCUUGAAAGAACACUUGGCCCCUGUACACAUAUUUACUAUGUCUCUCCAUCAUUGGCAGGGUUGGUUCCAACACUACGUCAGGAAAUGGGAUUCUGGGGCACAGAAGUAAUACAGAAAGGCAUCAGUGGAUUCCAGAGUCACCUAUUCAGACAAAUCAAACAGGAAGUCAGUUCUAUGGUCUAUUUGGUUGAGUAAUAGCAGGAACACUAUUUCUCCAAUCCAUCAAGUUCCUGGUUCUCAGACAACUUCCAUCAAAUCCUUGGCAGCACAUAUGCAAGACUAAGAAGUUGCAGGGGAAAAAGGACAAAUUGAGUGAUUGGGAUAACGAUUUUUGAGGGGAAAGGAAUGGAGGUGAUGGUGAGGAUUCUCAACAAUAAACCCCCAAACAGGAAGAACCUGCUUUUUAGAAUCUCCGUCCUCUGCAUUCCUCUGAACGGCGUUAAGUGUUCUGCUUGCUGUACACUCCAUUUCGAUUUCUAAGAGACACGGUGCCCAAUGACAACAACAGCAAGACACCCAAUGGAGCAGGUAACUCAGGACACUGUGAAGAAGUCCAGGAACAAGGAUGGGGUGUAGGUGAAAGCCCAGUUAAGUCAUGUGCUGAUUUGGAUUACCCUGGGAUUAAAAUGAGGGGGGAAGCCACCUUACACUGUUCACGUGAUGUUGUUCCAAACUUCAAUAAAAAUCAGGUUGCAUUGCCUUUCCCAAAUAUCACACUCAGCUCUCAGUAGUCCCCACCUCCCAAAGAGAUGUUUGCAAAGCCGCUAGAUGUCUUGGCCUUCUCAUCGACACAUAGGCAGAAGCCAUCCCUGGCCCCUGGUGACCCGAUGGCCUGAAGGAGAAAUGAGGUGGCUGGAGGAGGUCCCAGCAGAGUAGAGGAUCCCGGACUAGUGCAG
rnacentral:lncRNA from 1 species